UUAUGAAUAAUACACAAAAUAU
rnacentral:snRNA from 1 species